rnacentral:lncRNA from 1 species
CGCGCCCUGUUAGGGGAAGGCGCGCCUCUCGAUAAUUUCAAGAAAACGCUGUUCGGGGGAGACACAUCUUGUAAAUAUCCUCGAUUCACAUUACUUUCAUCCUGAGCUCGCCUUACGAAUUCUUUUCCUGUCUAAAAAUAGCUACUAAAUAAAAUAUUAGGUUAGAGAUACACAAUAUUUAUUAUAUAAACACCACACAUAAAUAUAUCAAUAUAUUUGUGGUGUUAUAAUAAUAAUUCAUACUCGACAAGAGAAAUAUAUAAUUCGAUUACGCAUAAAAUAUUUAAAUUUAAAACAUACAUAUCCAAGAAUAAAUAUACGCAUGACAAGAAUAUAUAUACCAAAUGAAAAUUACAAAAAAUGAAAAACACUUAUCUUUACAUUGAACAUGAGAAUCUCCAUGUACCUGCACUUAUAUCAGUUCAACACUAAAAUAAUUUUCUAUGACAUGAGAUAAGAGUUUAAUACGUAAUUAUUUUAAUAUAAAGAACUACUAAUGAAAAUUUCGUGCCAUAAUAAAUUAACGAGUUAAAAUGCA